CCCAGAAUGCUUUGAUCUGCUUGAUUACCCGCCUCUGUUCAUUCUUCUUCUUCUUCUUCUUCAGCACACAUCAUGUGGCCUCCUCAGGCCCAGCAUUUGAUGAUUGCUUCAAAAUCAAUAGAUGUUCCAGGGGAAAACAAACUCUUCCAUACUGUGAUGAGAGCUGACACAGGUUCAACUAUUGUUUCUCUUGAAGAUCUUCUUCCAAGGGUCUUGCCUUGUGAUUCUGGUUGGAACAUUUUGUCCGUG